CAUGGGCGCAGCCUGAUGCAGCCAUGCCGCGUGUAUGAAGAAGGCCUUCGGGUUGUAAAGUACUUUCAGUCGUGAGGAAGGUGGUAGUGUUAAUAGCACUAUCAUUUGACGUUAGCGACAGAAGAAGCACCGGCUAACUCCGUG
rnacentral:rRNA from 1 species